rnacentral:rRNA from 1 species
GGUAUGCUUUAGGAGGGGCUUGCGCCAUAUUAGUUAGUUGGUAGGGUAAUGGCCUACCAAGACGAUGAUGUGUAGCUGGACUGAGAGGUUGAACAGCCACAUUGGGACUGAGACACGGCCCAAACUCCUACGGGAGGCAGCAGUAGGGAAUUUUCGGCAAUGGAGGAAACUCUGACCGAGCAACGCCGCGUGAAUGACGAAGUACUUCGGUAUGUAAAGUUCUUUUAUCGAGGAAGAAAAGCAAAUGGCGAACCAUUUGUUUGCCGGUACUUGAUGAAUAAGCCCCGGCUAAUUAUGUGCCAGCAGCCGCGGUAAGACAUAAGGGGCAAGUGUUAUCCGGAAUUAUUGGGCGUAAAGGGUGCGUAGGCGGUCUAGUAAGUCAGUGGUGUAAUGUCAACGCUUAACGUUGUCCGGCUAUUGAAACUGCUAAACUUGAGUUAGAUAGAGGCGAGUGGAAUUCCAUGUGUAGCGGUAAAAUGCGUAAAUAUAUGGAGGAACACCAGAGGCGUAGGCGGCUCGCUGGGUCUUAACUGACGCUGAGGCACGAAAGCGUGGGGAGCAAACAGGAUUAGAUACCCUGGUAGUCCACGCCGUAAACGAUGAGUACUAAGUGUCGGGUUAAACCGGUACUGAAGUUAACACAUUAAGUACUCCGCCUGAGUAGUACGUACGCAAGUAUGAAACUUAAAGGAAUUGACGGGACUCCGCACAAGCGGUGGAUCAUGUUGUUUAAUUCGAAGAUACCCGAAAAACCUUACCAGGUCUUGACAUGUUUUUGCAAAAUGAUAGUAAUAUCGUGGAGGUUACCAGAAACACAGGUGGUGCAUGGUUGUCGUCAGCUCGUGUCGUGAGAUGUUAGGUUAAGUCCUAAAACGAGCGAAACCCUUAUCGUUAGUUGCCAGCACGUUAUGGUGGGGACUUUAACGAGACUGCCAAUGAUAAAUUGGAGGAAGGUGAGGAUCACGUCAAAUCAGCAUGCCCCUUAUGACCUGGGCUACAAACGUGAUACAAUGGCUGUUACAAAGGGUAGCUGAAACGCAAGUUCUUGGCCAAUCCCCAAAAACAGUCCCAGUCCGGAUUGAAGUCUGCAACUCGACUUCAUGAAGUUGGAAUCGCUAGUAAUCGCGAAUCAGCUGUCCCGUGAAUACUUUACGGGUGAU